rnacentral:tRNA from 1 species
AGGGGCGUAGCUCAGUUGGCUAGAGCGGCGGUCUCCAAAACCGCAGGUCGGGAGUUCGAGCCUCUCCGCCCCUGCCA